CCUACGGGGUGCAGCAGUGGGGGAUAUUGCACAAUGGGGGAAACCCUGAUGCAGCGACGCCGCGUGGGCGAAGAAGUAUCUCGGGAUGUAAAGCCCUAUCAGCAGGGAAGAAGAAAUGACGGUACCUGAGUAAGAAGCACCGGCUAAAUACGUGCCAGCAGCCGGGGUAAUACGUAUGGUGCAAGCGUUAUCCGGAAUUACUGGGUGUAAAGGGAGCGCAGGCGGCACGGCAAGCCUGAUGCGAAAGCCCGCGGCCCAACCGCGGGACUGCAGUGGGAACUGCCGGGCUGGAGUGCCGGAGAGGUAGGCGGAAUGCGUGGUGUAGCGGUGAAAUGCGUAGAUAUUAGGAGGAACACCGGUGGCGAAGGCAGCCUACUGGAGGGUGACUGACGCUGAGGCUCGAAAGCGUGGGGAGCAAACAGGAUUAGAUACCCCAGUAGUC
rnacentral:rRNA from 1 species